UGAGAGGUUCUGUCACCUCAUGCUGAAGAAGCAGAAGCCUGCAUAGACAGCCGAAAUUGCUCAAUUCUCUGCAAUGGAGGAGACUAAUAGAGAGCUCCUAACCAAACUUAAACCAGCUAUGUUACAUGCACUGCCUCUGCCUGAUCCUGGAGACAGAGAAGUUAUGGGAAGCAUUAUUGCAGUAUGUAAGGCUUGGCUUUUUUUCCAAUUCCGCUGCUUCUCCAGCACCUAAACACUUACCAGCCUGAGACACUAAUGCCAUCAGAUGCAAAAGGGGUUAGUUUAUCAGUGAGCUUAGUUGAGUGAGUGGAAGCAGAUGAAUGCCAAUAAAGUAAAAAUCCUGAA